rnacentral:rRNA from 1 species
UACGUAGGGGGCAAGCGUUGUCCGGAUUUAUUGGGCGUAAAGAGCGUGUAGGCGGUUCGGUAGGUCCGUUGUGAAAACUCGAGCUCAACCUCGAGACGCCGAUGGAAACCCCCGAACUAGAGUCCGGAAGAGGAGAGUGGAAUUCCCGGUGUAGCGGUGAAAUGCGCAGAUAUCGGGAAGAACACCCGUGGCUAAGGCGGGCUACUC